rnacentral:rRNA from 1 species
GACGAACGCUGGCGGCGUGCUUAACACAUGCAAGUCGAGCGGUAAGGCCCUUCGGGUACGACGAGCGGCGAACGGGUGGGUAACACGUGAGCAAUCUGCCCUUCUCAUCGGAAUAACCAUUGGAAACGAUGGCUAAUGCCGAAUAAUGACUCGGAUCACAUGUUCUGAGGUGGAAAGCUCCGGCGGAGAAGGAUGAGCUCGCGGCCUAUCAGCUUGUUGGUGAGGUAAUAGCUCACCAAGGCGAUGACGGGUAGCCGGCCUGAGAGGGUGACCGGCCACACUGGGACUGAGACACGGCCCAGACUCCUACGGGAGGCAGCAGUGGGGAAUAUUGGGACAAUGGGCGAAAGACCUGAUCCAGCAACGCCGCGUGAGGGAUGACGGCCU